rnacentral:sRNA from 12 species
GGCAGAGGCUUGCGCUCAGGCUUUCGAUACGGCGGACGGUACCCCGGCGUCAUCACGUGCCCUGCGGGCAUGGAAUCGUUACGGAUUCGCGCACUGAGCGGUCCACACGGCGCAAGCA